rnacentral:ncRNA from 2 species
UGCGCAUGUGCGGGAGAGGCCGGGUGAAAGGAUACCGGCGCCGAAGGAGCAACCGCCCCGGAAACUCUCAGGCAGAAGGACCGCACAGGCCAA